UACGUAGGGGGCAAGCGUUGUCCGGAAUCAUUGGGCGUAAAGAGCGUGUAGGCGGCUUGGUAAGUCCGCUGUGAAAGUCCAGGGCUCAACCCUGGAAAGCCGGUGGAAACUGUCAAGCUUGAGUCCGGAAGAGGCGAGUGGAAUUCCUGGUGUAGCGGUGAAAUGCGCAGAUAUCAGGAGGAACACCGGUGGCGAAGGCGGGUCUCUGGGCCGUAACUGACGCUGAGGAGCGAAAGCGUGGGGAGCGAACAGG
rnacentral:rRNA from 1 species